UAAGGAAUCUUGGACAAUGGGGGAAACCCUGAUCCAGCCAUGCCGCGUGAGUGAAGACGGCCUUCGGGUUGUAAAGCUCUUUCAACAGUGAAGAUAAUGACGGUAACUGUAGAAGAAGCCCCGGCUAACUCCGUGCCAGCAGCCGCGGUAAUACGGAGGGGGCUAGCGUUGUUCGGAAUUACUGGGCGUAAAGCGCAUGUAGGCGGAUCGGUCAGUCAGAGGUGAAAUCCCGAAGCUCAACUUCGGAACUGCCUUUGAUACUACCGAUCUUGAGUUUUGGAGAGGUGAGUGGAAUUCCGAGUGUAGAGGUGAAAUUCGUAGAUAUUCGGAGGAACACCAGCGGCGAAGGCGGCUCACUGGACAAAAACUGACGCUGAGAUGCGAAAGCGUGGGUAGCAAACAGG
rnacentral:rRNA from 2 species